UCGACACGAGAUUGUAAGUGUUCUAAACUUGUACUUUUGUAUUACUUUCAUUCUAAUAACAUUUAAUUGAAUAUAUCUAGUUUUGGGAUAUGGAAUUGGGAUCUUAUGGGAGUUUUUUGGAUCUUGUUUUGCUGGAAGGGUUUUUGUUGCCCCAAUUUAGAUCUGUUUGGGAUUUGUUUGGUAAACUUUAUGUUAAUGUUAUCUACUUUUCUACUUUUCUUCUAUACUGUGUUGGAUGGAAGUAGAUUUGCAGUCCAUUGACAGUCGUCCAGUUGCUGUUCAUGUCUGGAGCUAUGCAGAGUGUACCUGACAGUAACAACUAAGAAGUAAGAGCUACUGCCUUUAGGCAGUAGCAGCUGACAGUAACUGUCAUAACAGUUUUAGAAAUAUCCUAGUAAAUCCUAUAUUGUAACUUGAAGAUAGAAUCAUAAAGUUUGAUUUAUAACUUCCUAAAUACACACAUCCAUAUAACGAAAACUUAAUUACUUUGUAAUGUAAAAUAAAGAAGUUAUAUGAAGAGACAUUGUAUGCUAGGGACUGCUAUGAGGUAAUUGGGGCAAUCAAGCCAAAUAUGGUUGUAAUCUUUUUUCUUCCUUUUAAUAUACUUUAAAUUUAGCAAAAAAAAUAACCUUUAAUUGAUGCAUAAUUCUAAUGUAUUUGGCACAUUUUUUCAUGUCCUAGUCUCAAAAGGAGCUAAAUGGAGAUCCUUGUGAUAUGAUUGAUUUGUAUAAACGUACGCAUUAUUCAGAGGAAAAGGGUUGGUCAUCCAAAGUGGCAGAAGAGAAUUGGGUAACUUUAAUAUCUAUUUGUUUAAAAUCCAGCCUUUUCUAUGUUAAUGAUUGUAAUUAACUGUAUAUACCUUCUUACAUCCAUGUGUUUUAAUAGGAGUUGAUGAAAAAAAGUGAGUUCAAUAUAGAGAAGAAGGAUCUGAGAAGAACAUAUAUGAAAUACUCUUGGAGGUUCUUGGCCAUGGAUCUGGUUACAUUAAAGGCCUUGGGUAUGGUCCAAAACCUCCAAGCAGGCGCAUCACAUCAUCUAAUUUAGCGACCCAACAUGUCCAAAAGGAACUUCAAGAUACACAACAAAAGCUACAAAUGUCUAACUCUCAAGUAAAUGAUCUUAAGACACAAGUGGCUGAAUUUGAGACUGAAGUGUCUGAUUUGAAAACUCAAUUGGUUGAUCAAGGUGAAAAUAUCAACAAACUUAUGGCAAUUAUGGCUGCUAAUGGGAUGAACAUAUACUAGAGAAAAAUAUCAUGUAAGUAAUAAAUACUUUUAAACUUCAAUUAAGCUUUUAAAUGUUGUUUUCCAUGGUUGAAUUUGUGUUAAUGCAUAUUUUUGAUAUUAAAAAAACUUUAUAAAUGAGUGAAUAAUGAACUCUGAAGUAAUGAUAGUAUAUUCAAUAUUGUAAUGGAGAUAUAUUGUGAUAUUUUUAUAUAAAGAAAAAUCUAUGUAGGAGAUGGGUUUCCCUUGAUUAGCAAACAUCUUACUGCUGGGAUUUCACUUCUUUUUACCCACUUUUGUGUUGGUAGCUAUUUACUUUAGUACUUUACAACAUAUUGCCGCAAUGUCUUGUUGCAUCACAAAUACUCUAUAGUUGUGAAAAAGGAAAGGGGGGGGGGGGUACUUGUAAAAAGUAUUCUCUUUCAACACUUACAAAGAAGACUUAUUCUACUUUCAGCCAAUCUAUUUAAAAUUUAAAUUUGUACUUCUAUGUGUAAGAUACGACAAUCUGAUACGCAACCACUUGGUGUGAUUACAUUGUUAUAUUUCUAGUUUGCCACAUGAAAGUGUCAAUAUGAUGAUAAAGGUUUCUGCUGUGUAGAACCUAGCUAAGAUGUCCAAGUUUUGAAAGAUUGGGUAUGUAGGCUGCAAGUGUCUUUGUUACGCAAUAUAGAAGAUAUAGCUUAUUUUAAAACUUCGAGGUGGCUUUGGGGUAGUAUUUGACUUAGCAAUGUUUGAGCUGAGGCAUGAGGUUUGGUUUUCUUUAUUCACCAGUUAUUAGUCAAUCAUCAGUUUGGUUUUCUUUAUUCACAUAUUGCUGGUUGUUAUGUGCUUUGAUGAUGAUACUCCAUUUGUGUUCCUAUGUCACUAUCAGAACUUUAGUGCUGCUGAUGAUGGACUAAUAGCUGUUCAAUAUUUUUCAUAAAUGGUGUUCAUUAUUUCACACUGAUAUUUUAGUGCUGACAUAAUUGCUUCUUCACUUGUGCAGGAGCUCUUGGGUUGCUUUCCCUUCCUCAAGCUUCUCGGUUAGUUUAAAACUUGCUCUAAUAGUUCUCAUAUUUUGGGAUUCAUAAAUAUAUCUCUCUGCACAUGGGACGACUUUCUUGAAGUCUAUUUUUAUAUUACAACUUCAACCAGAAUCCGAUUCUGCAGAUCCUCUAAAUUCUAUGGAUAUUGAUUUUGGUUGCUAUAAUGCUAGUAUAGCUAUAGUUCUGGAAAAUUAACAAUUUAUUAUUUAAAUAUUUAUUUCUUUAUAAACAUUUUUUUUAAUUUCAUAACUAUUUGAUUGAUUUAUGUCUAUAUAUUUUUUUGAUUUGUAGAUAGAGUUUUUUUUUCUGGAAGGUCAAUAACCACAAGGUUGAAGGUUUUAAUUAAGCAUUUUCUUAGGAUAUGGAUUUUAGAAUUUAAGUUUUUGGAUUAUAUAAUUUGGUUUUGUGGCACUUAAAUUAUUUAAGCAAUUGUUUAUUGCCUAGCUAGUUGGGUAUUUUGUUGAAUCAGUG
rnacentral:lncRNA from 1 species